GACAACCGUUGGGGGUGGGACGAAGUUCGUCUCUGAGAGAGUCCCCGGAACCUGAUCAGGGUAAUGCCUGCGAAGGGAAACGUGAAAAGGGUGGA
rnacentral:ncRNA from 2 species